UUGAACGCUGGCGGCAUGCCUUACACCUGCAAGUCGCACGGCAUCGCGGGAAAGCUUGCUUUCCUGGCGGCGAGUGGCGAACGGGUGAGUAACACAUCGGAACGUACCGGCUAGUGGGGGAUAACCCGUCGAAAGACGGGCUAAUACCGCAUACGCUCUUCGGAGGAAAGCAGGGGACCUUUGGGCCUUGCGCUAGCCGAGCGGCCGAUGUCCGAUUAGCUAGUUGGUGGGGUAAAGGCCUACCAAGGCGACGAUCGGUAGCGGGUCUGAGAGGACGAUCCGCCACCCUGGGACUGAGACACGGCCCAGACUCCUACGGGAGGCAGCAGUGGGGAAUCUUGGACAAUGGGGGCAACCCUGAUCCAGCAAUGCCGCGUGGGUGAAGAAGGCCUUCGGGUUGUAAAGCCCUUUCGGCAGGGAAGAAAUCGGCGGGGCGAAUAACCCUGCUGGAUGACGGUACCUGCAGAAGAAGCACCGGCUAACUACGUG
rnacentral:rRNA from 1 species